AGUGAACGCUGGCGGUAGGCCUAACACAUGCAAGUCGAACGGCAGCACAGUAAGAGCUUGCUCUUACGGGUGGCGAGUGGCGGACGGGUGAGGAAUACAUCGGAAUCUACUUUUUCGUGGGGGAUAACGUAGGGAAACUUACGCUAAUACCGCAUACGACCUACGGGUGAAAGCAGGGGAUCUUCGGACCUUGCGCGAUUGAAUGAGCCGAUGUCGGAUUAGCUAGUUGGCGGGGUAAAGGCCCACCAAGGCGACGAUCCGUAGCUGGUCUGAGAGGAUGAUCAGCCACACUGGAACUGAGACACGGUCCAGACUCCUACGGGAGGCAGCAGUGGGGAAUAUUGGACAAUGGGCGCAAGCCUGAUCCAGCCAUACCGCGUGGGUGAAGAAGGCCUUCGGGUUGUAAAGCCCUUUUGUUGGGAAUGAAAAGCAGCAGGUUAAUACCCCGCUGUUCUGACGGUACCCAAAGAAUAAGCACCGGCGAACUUCGU
rnacentral:rRNA from 1 species